rnacentral:rRNA from 1 species
AGAGUUUGAUCCUGGCUCAGGAUGAACGCUGACAGAAUGCUUAACACAUGCAAGUCGACUGGAAUUCUUCUUCGGAAGAUAGUACGGUGGCGGACGGGUGAGUAACGCGUAAAGAAUUUGCCCUUCAGACUGGGACAACUAACCGAAAGGUUAGCUAAUACCGGAUAUUAUGAGACCUUGGCAUCAAGGACUUAUGAAAGCUAUAUGCGCUGGAGGAGAACUUUGCGUCCCAUUAGGUAGUUGGUAGGGUAAUGGCCUACCAAGCCGACGAUGGGUAGCCGGCCUGAGAGGGUGAACGGCCACAAGGGGACUGAGACACGGCCCUUACUCCUACGGGAGGCAGCAGUGGGGAAUAUUGGACAAUGGACCAAAAGUCUGAUCCAGCAAUUCUGUGUGCACGAUGAAGGUCUUCGGAUUGUAAAGUGCUUUCAGGUGGGAAGAAGAAAGUGACGGUACCACCAGAAGAAGCGACGCUAAAUA